GAAGAGUGGCCGAGUGGUCGAAGGCGGCGGAUUUGAAAUCCGUUGUGCAGCAAUGUACCGUAGGUUCGAAUCCUAUCUCUUCC
rnacentral:tRNA from 1 species